ACAACCAAAAACCCAUUCUUAACGAAGGAUGGGAAAAAUGGUGCCUUCACAAGUGACCUCUCUUGUGGUCACUCUCCUAGUGGCAAUAGUCUCUCUCACAUUGCCUUCAGAAACUUCAGCUAACUACCCUUACACCUCUCCACCACCACCGGCCUCUCCUCCCUACCAUUACAAGUCACCACCGCCUCCUUCUCCUUCUCCUCCAGUGCACUACUCACCACCUAAGCAUCCCUACCACCCUAAGUCACCACCACCUCCUGUGUACGCACCACCUAAGCAUCCCUACCACCCUAAGUCACCACCACCUCCUGUGUACCCACCACCUAAGCAUCCCUACCACCCCAAGUCACCACCACCAUCACCAAAGCCUUACCACUACAAAUCCCCACCACCACCUCCUGCUCCAGUGCACUCACCACCCCCACCUAAGGAGCCAUACCACUACAAGUCCCCACCACCACCACCCAAGAAGCCCUACCACUACAAAUCUCCCCCACCACCUCCUCCUCCAGUUCACUCACCACCACCACCCAAGGAGCCUUACCACUACAAAUCUCCACCACCACCACCCAAGAAACCUUACUAUUACAAGUCUCCUCCACCACCACCAAAGAAGCCUUACCACUACAUGUCUCCUCCCCCACCGGUGUACUCACCACCUCCACCAGUGCACUCACACCCACCACCAAAAAAGCCUUACCAUUACAAAUCUCCUCCCCCGCCAGAAUAUUCACCAGCUCCACCAGUGCACUCAACCCCACCACCAAAGAAGCCCUACCAUUACAAAUCCCCACCACCACCACCACCACACAAGAAGCCUUAUUACCCUGUUCACUCACCACCUCCACCUAAGAAGCCUUACCACUACAAAUCCCCACCACCACCUUCUCCUACUCCUCCUAAAUACUCACCACCUAAGCACCCCUACCACUACAAGUCUCCACCACCACCACCAAAGAAGCCUUACCAUUACAAGUCCCCACCACCUCCUUCUCCUACUCCCCCUAAAUACUCACCACCUAAGCACCCCUACCACUACAAGUCACCACCACCACCACCCCAAGAAGCCUUACCACUACAAGUCUCCACCACCACCACCUCCUCCAGUUCCCACACCAUCUCCACCCAAGAAACCUUACCACUACAAGUCUCCCCCACCACCCCCUCCAGUCUACAAGUCUCCUCCACCACCAGUUUACUCACCACCACCACCACCUAAGAAACCUUACAAGCCACCAACUCCUCCAGCAGUUCACCCACCACACGGUUACAUCUAUUCCUCACCCCCACCUCCUCACCACUACUAGAUAUUGAAAGUUUAAUUGCAUCAAGCUGGUAAGCUUCUCCAUUCUAUGCUAUUAUUCAUUAAUUAGUUAGUACUACUGUUGUCAAUUUGGAAAUCACCAUACAACCAAAUGCACACUCUGACGAAAUAACAUAUAAAUUCUAAUUGAAUAGUCUUUAUUUCCAUUUUUGGCUAAUAAUCCUUAUUAGCAUAUGGAUAAUGUAUUUCCAACAUAUCGUUAUUAACUUAUUACUCAAUUAAUAUUUCUUUUUCUUUAAAUUCAGUAGCCGUGUGUAACAAAUAGACCAAUGGCAGAGACCCAACAAAUAACAAUAAUAUGUCUUUGCAGGUAAGGGAAGAAGAAAGGUCAGAAUAAAGAGGGGCUGUUGAAGUCGAACAGCGCGCCUUAUUACCACACAAAGAAGAAGAGAGAGAAAAAAACGAGUCUCCACGCAGCUGCUGAUGUGACGUGUUUUAUGUAUGCGAUAUUCGAUAGAGGUUCAUAUUUUCCUUGGAAUAUUAGACAGUUGUAGGGCACUCAUGUUCCAUGUAUUUUAUUUCCUGUUUCUCAAAAGAGAUGGUAUAUGUAUGUUGUUUGUUUCAACCUUCUAAUGGAGAGGUGAUCAUCAUAAUAAUAAAAUAAAUACAUUCCCCAAAUUUUACUUAAUUUCUCAUAUAUCUGAUAUGUUUUACUCUCUUAAUUAAAGUUUCCUAAUAAUGUUAUAAAAACCACGUAUAUCACAUUGGUGUACCAUUUAUUCUCACAAGUAAUGUCACGUCAAUUAAUGAGUUUAUCUCAUUGAAUAGUAAUUGACUUGCUUACAUUAUAUGGUAAUAAUGUGGUGUAAAUAUGUCGCAUCGUCCUUAACAUCACUCUAAAUUUCUUGGUAAUAAUAUAUGCGAGCAGUGUUAACAAAUCAAAGGAUGAGAAAGAAGAAAAACUAUUUGCAAAUUCUUAUUCUUAAUAUUUCAUAAACACAAAAUAAAGAAGACUAUGAAUUGUUCAAAUGCAUACUAAGUGAUCUAUUUUGGCAAAUCAUCUUAGUAUUGUAUUAUUUUCUUCAAUUAAGUGAUCUAUUUUUUUUCAAUUUGUUUUCCAUAUUUCAUGGCUUAAAUUUGUGAUUACUUUUUCAACAUAAAUGUCAAAUACUUUUUCUAAAAGUUAAUGUUGUCUAUUAUUUAUCCGUUGCUGGGAAAAAAAGUUAAAGUGGUAAUCUUAUUGAUAAAACUUAGUUCACUACACUAUAUAUACAAUUGUCUUCCGGUAGACCAUCAUGGAUAAAAAAUCAAAAGGAUUAUCGAAACCCCAAAAAAUUCUCACUAGUAGAAAGAUUGUUCAAAUUCUACAAUGAACCACAAGAAGUCUAACUCACUUGGUCAUUGCUGAUUGACUAUCAUUACUAGGUUAAAGCAACAUUUUAAGUUUUAACCUAAAUAGGAUCUCAACAAGCUAGGGUUUGAGAUUAGUGUUUUAGGUGACGACAGAGCUCUUUCCUUUCUUUAUGUUAUCCAAACUCUUUUUCUUUUUUCAUUUUUAUCAAGAAACUGUAGGUCUCAAUCAAAUUUAUGGAUUAUGGAUUUUAGUUAUGUAUUCUUAGUGUGGAAAUUUGACUAUAAAAUACGUUGACACUUGUCCUUUAAACUAAUGCAACCGAACAAACUUGUAGUUAACAAUUUUAUUAAGAGAGAUUAUAUUCACACACUUCAAAUUACUUAUGUCACACCUUUCUAAUUUUUUAAUAUUUUCUACACACCACUAACACUUGAAAGAAAAAAUAUUAAAAAAAUUAAAAGAGUGUGGGGCAAGUAAUUUGGGGUGUGUGAAUAUAAUCUCUCUUUCAUUAAAUCAUAACAUGGUGGAGUGAGUAAGUGAUGAGGAAAGACAAUUACGUCGCUCAUAUGCAAAUGAGUGGACAAACCUUCCAAUGGAUGCAACGGUGGUCAUGAAUUAUGAUUGUGUGUAGGGUUUCGAGUUACCGACGUUGACUGUCAUGCAAAUUGAGUACGUAGCCACUUACACUUAAUGGCAGAGGUCGAUGAUUUGCGCUACGGAAAAUGGUUUGAUUUGCUUAUACCAAUUACCAAACAAAGCAAAUAUAUUCGUCCUUUUGGUUUGGUUGUCAACUGUCAAGUAUGCGUUAGAAUUUUUUAAUUUGGGUUAAAUAAAAUAAAAAAACAAUACUCAAAACUUUUUGGGGAUGAGAUCUGAGAAAUUUAAUUUUUUCCCUUCAUAUAUUAGGGAUGAAAGUUGACUUAAUCACACACAAUGGAUCAUACCAACAAUAAUUUAGUAUCGAAUUCAUCAUUCAUGAAAAUCAUAUUUGAGCCUAAAUAAAAAUAAGCAUGUUAUGGGGUCAAUCUACUUUUAUUUACAGAAAGUUGCACGACUCAGGCCCACCAACUUCAAAGCCUAAUUCAAGAUCAUAUCACAAAGCUUGGGCGACCUUUUUGUCCCCCUCCUAGCUAUUCGAGGGCUUGGGUAGAUCUCUCUAUGAAGUGCGUCCACCACGCAGAUGACCAGACCCGGGAAUAUCUCGCCUCCUUAAAUGUUGAUGUACGCAUCAUCUAACAUGCUAAUGUCACCAUUGCAAUUAUGAAAACGGCCAUGAAAUACAGUUUAAGGCCACCAACCAGAAAUUAUAGUCAAUGUCAACUCACCGAUCUACCCAUGCUCCAUCUUAGCCAUGAGAUCGAGGUUGCUCUUGCUUCAUUGCCUAUAAAUAGAGUGGGAAACCUUCAAACUUAGGACCUUCGUCUGAUCCAAUCUCUACAAUUAUAUAAAACCUCGAUUGAUUCUUCAAUCAACCCAACUUCUUUCAAAGUACAAUCCAAUUGCUCUUCAACUACAAUCACAAAGCCUUCGUUAAAAGCAAACAUUGCCUAUGUCCCUGAGAUCUUAAACUUUUACAGCUUUUCCAACCCGUGGUAUGAUUCGGUUGAUGUGUCAAUCCAACCACCCUGAUUUCCUCUUAGAGGCACAUGUUUUGGACUAAGUCCAAUUUGAUACCAGAGACCUCAGUGGACUCCUCUAGCAUUAUCUAUCCCUUCAUGGCCUAAAUCUUGUAAGAGUUUUUACAGCUUUCUUUACAAUUUUACUCAAUUUUCAUUUCAAGUCAUGUAGCUCGGCCCAUCGGCCAAGAUUUUACUUUUAUAUAAUGCUUGUAAUGUUGACUUCAUUAUGAAAUAAUUACAUUUUGUUCAUCACAUUAUUUUCCAUUUUCCUUUUUCAUGUUUUAGGCAAAAACACAAAAAAGUUACAUUGAAUUUUAAGUCCUCAUUCACUCAAGGCAUAGAAAAAAACUUAAACGAACUAGCGUCUCAUUCAAUGCACAACAAUUGGUUAAGAAGUCAGAUCUUUGCGCAACUUUCACACACAUCCAAAUACAAAGAUUGUCUGUUGACAGCCUCCAACAAUAGCACACCCAUUCUCUCAUUUUCUCGAGCCACCUCGUGACAUUGAUAUAAAAAAUAACACUCGGGGAAAAUAAAAGUUACAGUAGUAGUGAAAGAAAUUUAGUUGUUGUAAUAACUGAAUUUUGAAGGGCAUAUUAAGUAAUAAAAAUUAUGAGCAGAUAGUAUUUGCCCCAUUUGGCCUAGUGUCGACCAAAAAUGUACCUUCACCUAGAAAAGGAUUGUAGAAAGUGAAGUUAGUUCAAUAAUUGUCCUCUUUUUUGUUUUCUUUUUCGAUAUUUUAAGUGCUAUAUUGAGACUUUGGGGGCUUUUUUUUCCCAAAGCUCUGGCCUAUUCCGCGAAGAACUGAGAUUGAAUGGAGACUUUAUCAUUCUCACUAAUAUUAUAAGAAAAAUUGCACAAUACCAUUGUAUUAUUAAUUUGAGACAAUGGUAUUAAUUAUAGACAUUACAAUAGUGUCAAGAAUAAUGCAAAUAACUCAUUCUCCUUUGUUUAUUAGGUCGAAUUUCACUAGCUACAAAUAAGUUUAGCGGGGUGUAAGGAUGGAGACUUUAUCAUUCUCACUUAUAAAUCAUCAUAUAUUUAGGUGUGGGGUAAGGGGUUGGGGUAGAUUAGGUCCCAGGUUCGAGGCCUGGUGGGGUGGGGUGGGGUUGAAAAAAAAAAUCAUAUAUUUAGGUGUGGGUUUGGAAGGUAGACUUGAUUCCGCGGUGUUUUGAGGAGGAGGAGGGCAAUCUUAUUCUUGGUUUACCAAUAAGUUUAGCAGGGUGUAAGGAUAGAGUCAUAUGGCACUAUUCAAGAAAAGUUGCAAAACCACUAAAACUUUAUUUUAAGAGUCAAAUCUACUAAAUUCUUCUCCAAGAGACUUGAUAAAGGACUCUAUAUAAUAGCAAGUUGCUCUUUAAAUUUAUAAGUAAUGCCUAAUGGGGCUUUUAAGAAAAUAUUAAUAUUUAAAAAAAAAGUAUUAAUUUUUGUUUUAGACAUUGUAUAAGGAAAAUGAUAAGCAUACAUCCUUUUUAGCCUCGAUCAACACUUAUAUUUAAUCUUGUUCAUUAUUUUUGUUUGAUUUAUACAAUGCGAUGGUCAAAAAAAUAAAUAAAAAAUAUGUUUGAGAAGUUAAAAAUGAUGUGUGAAAAUCACCUGCCAAUAAACAAAUCUAUUAUUAAAACUAAUACAAACUUUAAAACUAAAACUCAUGAUCAAUUAAGAAACGCUCAAGUCAAAUUCAUAAUAGCCAUAAAACAUAAAACACCUAAAUUUACUAUGCCAAUUCAAUCAACAAUCGUAUUAUAAAUAUGUUAAAUCCUUACAUGAAUGGAAUUGUUAGCCCAUCAAUCCAAGUAAUUGAAUGAUCUUUGGAGAUUUACUUAAGAGCAGUAUUAAUAUGAAUUAUGAACUUAUGAGAGAGAAAUAAUCUAUUAUUCUUUUCUCUAUUAGGCUAUAUUAUAUUUAUUUUGUUAUUGAAGAAAUUAUAUAUUGUAUAAUAUUUCCAUGGGGUGCAAAAACAUCGGGGCGCCUUUUUUUAGUUGGGGACCUUGUGCAAUGUCUUAUAUUCCUCCCCUUCAAUCCGGCACUGACAGGAAGGGAGAGAACGAUUUAAAAAAUGAACGGGUUGAAUUUGAAUUGAUAAUAAUUAGUAAAUUAUUUAAACUUUGUUAAAUAGAAAAUAUUGUUGAAAAUGAAAAGUUAAACUGAGUAAUUAAAAUAGUUUUUUUGACACUUUUCACUUGCUUGUUUAACAAAAAUUUAGAGCUUGUCUUUGAGAUACUCUUACUCCUUUAUUUAAAGGACUCGGCUUUUCUAUUAUAGCUGUCGUAUUCAAUAUUGUUGCAAUUAAUGAACUUAAAUCAUUUCGUUAUGACCAAAUUAAGAUAAUCAUGGACAUGUAGAUUAGGUAGCUAAUUCUGAUUUUGACUCGAUCACAUCAAGGUUAUCGUAAUUAAUGUCGGUUAAUUUAAUAUGCGUCUCUGAUCUGAUUACAUUACCAUGGUACGUAAACAUGUGUAUCCAUCUGCAAGACUCAAGAUUUAUAAUUUUGUUUUGUUUACUGUUUUUACGAAGAUAUUUAUGAUUUGAUUUUAUAAUAAAUUUUUUUUUAAAAAAAAAAUCAGAGCAAAACUGCAUCAUGGCCAACAAUCCAGCCAGAUUCAGUUCAACUAUAAUUUUGGCCAAUUUUUCAAAGCUGAUGGAUGUUAGUAGAUUUGUGUGGGGAACACUGAAAAGGCUAGAUUAUGAAAUACCAGAAAAGUAUUGACAUUUCAAUUGCUUAAACCAACCAUGAUGAAGAGUUCUAUGAAUUAUUUUUCAAAAUUUGAUUAAAUUGUGUCAUCCAGAUUAACGAACAUUGUUUCAUUGAAAUUAGUUCAUCAAGAUUGCGUAACUGGGAUAGCUUUCACACUGUAUUAACAUACAAAGAGGCUCUACUUCGUUAGAGUGUUCAAACUGUACACGUAAUUUGACUGCCGUACACAUUUUUCUUAUAUCUCUCCAAUCAACUUUAUUUUUCCUUUUGAAUAAAUUAAAGAUAAAGAAAGAAAACCAUUUUGCCUUAAAUGGCAAGAGAUUGAUGAAAAUCUACUCUAAAGAAGGGACAGGAUAUAUAUAAAUUAAAAUUCAUCAUGUACAAAGUAAGCGUAGGACAUUUUCAUCAUUUUACUUUGUCGUGCCCAUAAUUCUUUGCUCUAUAUAUUUUAUCUUUGUUGGUGGUCGAUGCUUUGGUUGGCUGUCAAUUGCGACGGACUGUCGUAAAAAUUGUCGGCAACCAACCAUGUGUUCUUGCAUGCCCGAUGUUCUCGCCACCUCACGUGGAAAUUUCCAAUGGAAUGGAGGGCCAAAUUUCAGUUUUUAUAUCAAUUUGUUUAUGUUAAAAUUUUCUUGUAAUAUAAGUCAAUGGUUGAAUUUGCAGUAGAAACAAACAAAAUAUGUGGACGAAUUUGAUAAAGUACAAGAAAAAAAAAACUGCAACUUAAGUAGAUGACGUGAUUCUUCACCCGGACAACAAGGAAGAAGACAUGAAAUCGGGAACACUGGAUGACGAAGUACACAAAUUAAACUUAUCUAAUCCAUUUUAAUAAAUUGUUACAGGGUGGCCAGUGGUCGGGAAUAAAUCACAGACUCGCAUUUCAGAUACCUCACGAACUUGAUUUUUGUUACUAACAAAUCACAUGAAGGUGACCAAGAGAAGGUUGAAAUGUCAUUGUGAGACGUCUUUCUUACCCUCGAAAGAUGAACUACCGUAAUGAAGCCACCAACUCAUCUUUUUAAAGGAAAGAAAAUCUAAGCCGUCCUAAUACAUGUUGUCACUCAUGGGAAUUAGAGAAGAAAUAUUCGUUAGCCACUUACAGUUGGAUGCUUAUUAUAUUAACUAGUUACAAAGUCAAAGGUUUUUCAUUGAAUGGAAUCAUAAGAUGUAAACAUCUAGGAUUAAUAUUUGGAAAAUAAUUAAACUCAAUCCCACCGCGUAGUUCUGUAACAAGUUUAUAUGUCUAAUAGAGUUUAUAGAUCUAAUAGUUAGUUAAGAGUAUUCAUUCUUACUCUUGAAGUUUUUUUGUUGACACUCUCUCUUUUAACCAUUUCUUGUAAUCAUUACAAGAAUUUGGAUUCUUUUAAUCCUAGGAGUGCAAUACUAAUUCUUAAUCUUUGUGUUAACCAUAAUAUCAUGACACAUAUCACCAAGUAUGAUCAGCAACUAGGAGAACGAGAGAAGAUGCGUGACUUAAGAAAAUUGAUGUGAUUUUGGAUUUUUUUUUACUUUAUGCACGCCCGCUCUUUAAAAAAAAAGAAAAAAGAUAUGUGAAAGGUGAAAAACAGUUGUUUCCGACAAACAUAAUUCACUUUCUAUAUGUGUACUUUGUAUUUUUUUUCAUCAAGUAAGGAAAUGGUGAAAAGAAAAAUGUACAUUAAUCGUAUCAUAUGAUAUAUUGUUCUUCUCAAGACAACUAAGAAGCUAAACUUAAUGUCAGAGAUUAAGACGUUUUGUUGGCUUGUCAUUCAAGGAAAGCUUAAUACAUAUAAUAUAGAGUUGGGAAGGUUAAUUUGUCCGUAUCUUGUGUAAAACAUGAUCUGGAUUUCAAACCCCCUAGACUUUUUGUUGUCCUACUCACGCAGCCCAUUCCCAAGUUCCAACCCUCCCAACAACCCUAUCCAGGAAGGCCAGCGCAGAUGUUAAGGCUGUGACCAGGGUUGUAAUACCAUCUCCAAUGGAUAAGUCAAAUCAUAAGUGGAAUGUCGCAUAAUUAAAUUUAAAAGUAAAAAAGAAGUUCCAACCGAUAGUUUUUCCGGAUCCUGAAAGAGUGGAUAACCGUGACUUAUCACCACUUGUCUUAUUUUUCGAAGAAAAAAAAAUGUCAAUCCUAUGUGAAUUAACAUGAGUUUUUGGUAUCAAAAUUGACAUGAAAAAUGUGUUGGCAAUUAAUUCUUUAGUGAUUUUAUUGUGCGGGUUUUAUUAAUGGACCAAUUCUAAAGCUUAAAAAUUAUUUUAAUUGAUUUCUUUUUCAUAAUGAACCUACGGAUAUUAAUUAUAAAUUUGACAUUACCACAUCAAUCGUUAAAAUUAACAUUUGACAUUCAUUUUUUGACUUUUCCAUUGAAGAUGUUCCAAUUAGCUUCAAAUGCCUUCGAGUUGAACUCAUGUUUGGGUCGUUUUAGGCAUGUUCAAUCUCUACUUGCAAGUAAAAGGAGUCGGGCACGAACAUAAUAUUCAGUUCGAUACAAAGAUGAGAUAGAAUUUUAGUAUGAUCAAAAGCUCGUAAAACUCUUAACAUCCCAUAUCAUUUUAUAUUGGACAUGCAAUCAUUUGAAAGUAUAGAGCUAUGCUUAAGCACAAAUUAUAUCAUUUGAACCAAGCACCUGGUACUUGGCGCGACUCAUCAACGCAGCUCUUGCAUUUUGUCCUUUGAUUUCUUCAAUAUAAAACCAUAAAUAAAUAGAAAUGUGCAAGAUAAGACGAGUCUGAUAAGAUUUCAAUAGAAGUGUUCCAUACGAACACUGUGCCAAGCACUUUUCAGCUGUUGGAUCGACGGAAUUUUACCACUGCUAGGCUAACAAUAUAAUUUCCGUUCGAUCUCUUUCAUAAACGAAACACUAAAACAUGAAUCGAUUUAUCAAUCACCCGAUUAACAUACUCCAAGAAACAGGAAAACAAUCAGUCACAAAUUACUCGCAAAUCGCAAUUAAAACGAAAGAAAUUGAGAAAUCCGGACUAGGCUACAAGCACGUCAAGUCAAGAUCGGCAAAACAUUUAAUAAAACACCAAAUCUGUCAUAUUUUCUGACCUUCCAAAUAUUCAAGUCCAUAACAGAAUGAACAAGCUGAAAACAGCAGAUGAAAUAUGCACAAAGGGAUACACCAAACGUACCUCCAUCGCGAGAAAGAUACACUGCGUUUUGUGAUCGCAUCUACACCAAGCGCUUCGUCCGACAAAACCAUCACUACACAUAUAGGUAUAGAAAAUAUCUAGCAUAGCGUCUUCAUCUCAUUUCUCAAACAGACAAUAUUAUACAAUGACAUUCAACUGGGUGUUUGCUUCGAUGAGUUCUACAACAGACAGGAAAUCAGAUCAUCAAGCACUAAUCACUAAUGACAUCGUCUCUUGAGCAAUCUCUCUAAUUUUCUCUUUCCUUGAGUGUACAGUAUAACCUCUAUAUUCAUAUGAGAAACAAACGAAAAAAACAAAGCCUCAUCCAUAUCCCAAACACCUAAAAAUGAGCCGGUCAGAAUGUUGCAAAAAGAGAAGUUUCGGGUAUUUCAGAAAUUUUCUGAGUCGUGUCAUAACUCUCAAGUGCCAUUGGAGGGUUCUGAAAUUUCCUGAGAUUUCAUGCAUUUAGUUCAGUGUGGGGCUGAGAGCCUGAUAGAACAAGGGAGAACCAAACAUCAAGAAAGACGAGAGAGAGUGUCCUACCUGGACUUCUUGGAGGAGAGAUUCAAGUUGAGCUGUUAUAUCGGAGAAGGAAGGCCGAUUGGAAGGAACUGAAUCCCAGCAACUCUGCAUUAAUUCCAAAACCUUGGGGUGUCCAUUAUUCGGAAUUUCCGGUCUCAGCCCCUGGGAAAUAGAAUGUCAAACAAAACAUAACUAUUUAGGCACAAAAGAAUUUGGAUAAAAUACUACGCUGAGUGAACAGCCAAACCAGUUGGUAUGUACCAUUGUACAUGAUUUCAGAGGCAUAAUUUAUACUUAUUUAUAUUAUAAGCAACAAAAAUGUCAUCAGAAGAUACAGAAAUUUGUUAUUCACUAAGUUUUACCCUUUUCUUGCGUUUAUAAAAUAUAUGCCUGCUUUGUAACAGCUUUUUUUAGUUUGAAUGGGAGGAUAUUCAGACCACAGGGUUACAAACAUAAACUCAGGCACGUCAUCAAUUCAAACUUUAAUUCGACAUGUAGAAUUGUCAACAUCUGUAAGAUACACACAUGGCAGGCAACAGGACGAAACACCAUAGAGGAAAAUUUAUAAUCAAGUUGCAUGAACUGUGGAUUAACAGGAUUUCUUAAGCAGCAAAUACAAUGCGGGCUAUAGAAAACACGUCUUCAUUCAUCAAUAUUCAAUACACAGACGAACAGAUAUAAAUAAUACAUAUGUAUUAUAAAUGGAUAUACGAAUAAACAAUAAACCUGUCUAACUCCCAAGGCAGCUUGCAAUGGAGUCAUGGUAUCAUAUGGAACCUGCAAUACAAAAUCAUACGAGUUUGAAAAUAAAUAAAUAAAAAAAUCUUAAGAAGUUUGAUAAUGUCCACAUCCAAAAUUCCCAAUACACAGAGGAAGCAUACUUUGGCUGUUACUAGCUCCCAAAGUACAAUUGCGAAACUGAACACAUCUGCUUUCUGAUCAUAUGGUUGAUGGUUGAUAACCUUGCAAAAUACAAGAAACCAAUAAGAUAUUGAAAUAAGAAUGUAAAUCAAUGUCGUCAAACUACGGUGCAUCUGCUAUGGUAAUGACGCAGUAACAAAACCAGAAUGUUGACAUCCAAAAUGCAAUUAACAAAACAGGAAAUUCAAUGAACCAUAGCCUGCUUGCCAAAACAAAGGGAUAUUGAUAAUUGUUUAUGAUAAACUAAUCAAUCCAUAGAUCACAACAAAGGACCAAUUUGUGAACCAAGUCCAACGGUUUAAGAGUUGACAAUAAUUUUCACGAAGAGACAAAGCAGGAAAAAAAAAGCAGAGGAAAAUAUUGAACCAGAAGAAUCGGACCUCAGGUGCCAUCCAUCGAUAGGUUCCAGUCUCUGCUGUCAUUACUCCCUCUUGAUUCUGAAACCGAGCAACACCAAAAUCUGCCACCUUUACAACCUGAAGGCAAACAAGAAAAUGAUUUUCAACUGUAAAAGAAAAGAAAAACCUAUUUGUUUUUCCUAAACAGAAAAAUAGAAUAGCCAGGAUGUGAGAGGAGAUUUCAACCAUUUAUACUUGGAAAUCUAACCAGGAAACAGUUUACCCAUUAUCAUAAACAAAUAAUGCUGUGUUUAGCUUUGAACUUUACUUAUAGUUAUUAAAAAAUAUAAAUAUACUUGUCGAAAGUAGAAUUGCAUUACCCCACAUCUUUAAACACAAAUCUAACUUCAUCAUUCAUGACAUCCUGAAAGUAUCAAAUUCACCAUCGACAAAAACUCAGAAGACAUCAAUUCCAGUAUGUCCAUGAGAAUUUUGGUCGAAUUGAACUUUUGACAUGCAGAUAUACUUCUCCCAUAAUCAAACUUCAUACCUCAAAGCACAACGCACAAUUACCCCAUACAAAACAAUAGACGGUUUGGUUACUCAAGUCCAAUAACUACAACUUAUAUCAACUAAAGCAGCAAUAGAUCCACUGAAGACAUUAGCCCUUUUAAAAAAAUUACAAACAAAUCUAUUGAACUUUAUCGUUUUCCUGUCGCCUAAGUUAAGCUGUAUAUGUACAAUGACAAAUUAAAUCAAUAGAGUUAUCAUGAAUAUGCGUAGGUUACAUUUUGCAGAAAGUGAAGCUGCCAAACAAGCAAACAAUAACCUUUAAUUCUUACAUUGUUAGUGUCCAUUAGCAGAUUUGCCGUCUUUAGAUCCCUAUGAAUUAUGUUAUUAUGAUGCAAAUACUCCAUUCCUUUACAGACAUCAAUUGCAAACUUUAGCAGUUCUGAAAGCUUCAAGAUGUUAUGAUUCUUAUGCAAAUAAUCGUAAAGACUUCCACCGGGCAUAUACUCUGCAAAAAAUAAAAAACAAAUGAAUUUUCAUAAUUAUGGUAAUAGUACAAUACAGCAACAAGUCGGCACUGGACUAAUUAUACUCAUCUCAAACUACAAACAGAUCUAAACAGUAAAGUUUUACAUAAAGAAAUCAAGAUGAAAUCAACAAUAAAGCUCUAACCAUAAAAAGAUACCCUGCCAAAUACUAUCCCAAAAUUCUCAAGAAACAACAUCCAAAGGUAAUCCCAAAACAAAAUCUAUCCCACGAAUGAUUACAUCCUUCAACUCCUAACCUACAUGAAGCUUCAUAAUACGCACCAAGUUGCCAAAGGCUGGCUGAUUGACAAAUUACAUAUAAUAGGGAAUUCCAAUAUGCACGACAUCCAAACAGCUUAGAGGAAUUUAAAAUAUAUAACACACAAGUAAAAUCUUCCUAAAUGCUGCAUACUCAGAGAAGAAGUACUAGCGCAUCCAAAACUUAAAAGAGUAUAAAUAAUGUGUAAGUAUGUUCCAACAACAACAACAAGGCAUUUUCCCACUAAGUAGGGUAGGCUAUAUGAAUCCUAGAACGCCAUUGCGCUCGGUUCUGUGUCACAUCUUCUGUUAGAUCCAAGUACUCUUAAGUCUUUUCUUAUAGUCUGUUCCAAAGCCUUCCUAGGUCUUACUCUACCCCUUCGGCCUUAAACCUCUGUCCUGUAAUCGCAUCUAGUGUAAGUAUGUUCCAAGAAAGAUAUUUUUAGUUCCAUUAAUACUUCUCCUGAUCCUAAUAAAAAUUUUCAAAAAGAUAGAAUGAAAACUUUGGUUGGCUACACCUAUAUUGGUGGAAACCAUCCGAUGUCAUUGAUUUUUUGUAGAAUGAUAUCCUUUGGUCCAUAAAAGAUAUUUUAUGAGAUCCGUUUUGGCGAAUGGUAAAAGGGGAUAGCUUUUAAGAAGGGAAAUGUGAGUGUGUUGGGGUGGAUUUUCUCCCUUUUUAUGUUCCUUGUAAAAGAAUAUACUAUGCUUCACUAACAAAAUUAAAAAGUAAAAAAGAAAACUUAUAAACAAUCUGAUGCUUAUUCUUACUUUUCUUAGUUGCACUGCUUCUAAAAACAUCUCCACAUGUAAGAUUCUGAUACAGAAUGAACAAAACCUCGAAAGAAGCUAACUUAACAAAUAUAGUAAAUGUUGGAGGCAACCAACAGGAGAGUUCCAUACCUGUCACUAUGCACAAAUGUGGAGACUUUGUACAUGCACCGAUAAAGCGCACAACAUUACUAUGAUGGACCUCUCUGCAAUCAUAAAACAAAUAUAAUAUAUAUCAGUAUUGCUUAAUAGCAAUACGCAUGCCAACAUAACCUAUAAAAUGGAACAACAGUUUUCUUUUCCCUUGAAUAAGAGACAAUUUAUUAGUAAAGAAUAAGAUACAGAGAAGACACUAUGAAAAACUAGAAACAGCAAAAGGUGGAACCUAGCCAUGAAUUUUAACUGCCUAGAUGUGUGAAAUGCAGCAUGGGCUAGCUGCAUUUUACUUAACUAUCAGAAAAUUCAUUCACUUUAUGGGUUUCAAGAAUAGUUACAGCUAAUAUACCACAAAAUGAAAGACUAGCUGCAUUAAAUGUGAUUUUUUAAAUGACACAAUAAGACAUGUUUCUUGGUUCCAUUUGUAAUUACAUUUGGCAUAUUCUUCCAAAGCCUCGUCGAAAUAAAGACCAGCAACCUGGAUAUUCAACCAGCAAUCCUGGAUAUUCAACCAGCAAAUCCAGAAAACGUGAAGCAUUCUCUUGUCAUUCCCAGAGAUUAUAGGAAUUGUUCUUGUACAGGCUAGUAUAGAAGUUCAUUAUGGAGGAUGUUGGAAAAUAAUGGAAAAAUCUUUAAAAGUUUACAAGUGGAGAAGAGCUCUCAAUAGAAAUGAUAAGAGUGAUUUCAUAUGAACUCCCCAGCAGGGACCAGCCUAGAUUAAAAGAAGAUAAAGAUAGAAAAUUAUUCACCUUAAAAUUGCCACUUCUUGAGCAAACUCAUCCUCUAGAGCAUCAUUCAAAUGUUCAGAUCUCAAAAUCUUAACAGCAACAUCUUGACCAAGAUAAAUUCCACGAUACCUGAGAAUGAACAGUAAUAUAAAGUUAAGCAGCAGAGAAGACUAUAAACGAAUAAAGGAAUGCCAAAAAUAAAACAUAUCUUACAAAUCUCCACAUGACCCAGAUGCAAUUCUGUCUCCGAUCAUUAAUAAUCUUCGGUCUAUUUCCCAGAGUCCUGUCUUUUCUUUCACCGAUAAUUCUUUCUCCACAGCCGAAUGAGAAUGUGAAGAUCUUGACCAUGACCCCUAAAUUACCAAACAACAGAUACGUAUUACUAUCUUAUAAUUCUUCGAUUAUUUUAGCAUUGUGACGCAAUAUACCUCACUUCUAGCAAUUGCCUUUUCCAUAGCUUCAUACAGACCAUCUGUAUCCUGACCACAACAUUGCAAAGUCAGCAACAUUUGAACUCAGCACAGUUGUCAUAAAAUUAAUAUAAUCACAAUUCCCCUUAAUGUAUUCUGAAGACAUUUUCUUGGAGGAACUGUAGCUUUUUCGACUUGUCCAAUUUGAUAAAACCCAAUAUUUAUAACAAACAUAUUGGGAUGCAUUAGAUCCAAUAAUUGUAGCAAUGCCAUAUUACAGCCCAGAGAUAAACACUGACUAAAAAGCGUUCAUCCAUGCAUAAAAAGAGAAAGCACAUAAACAGCUUGCAGUAUAGCAAAAUCCAUAGCCAACAAAAAUAAGCAUAUUGUAGUAGCAAUGUACCACAUAUUUUAAGAAAGGCCAUCCAACGUUUCGUGUAUUGGAAAUUACUCAUUUAUAAUAUAAUAACAUGCAAAAUUUCAAGAUUCAAAACUCUGACAGUAGAAAGUAAUCUGUGAAUGACGAUAAACACAUUAUAUAGUAAAAGAAAACUACCUCAACAGGCCAUCCAUCUACCACAAAUACAUCUAAAGAGUAGCCAUCGCUCGUCGAGAAGACAUGUGCUUCACGGAUGUUAAGUUCCAAAUCCGAAAGCAAGGAAGAAAGCUACAGAAUGAUGACAUAAGUUAGAAAGAUGCGACCACAGUAUGGUUACACUUCUGCAGUUAUCUUGGAUUCUACAACAUAAACAAUGCAUAUAAUAUGUAUCAAAUGUACUGAAUAGUCCAUUGCUACCUUUAAAUUCAUUUUCCAAUUGAAUUUGAAGGCUAUAGAUUUUCAACUUUAUAUUAAUGAAAGAAAUCAUAAUGAAAAAGAACUCUUCCAAUACAACGUCUUCUCACAAUUAUAUUUAAUACCCAAGCUUACUGCAUUGAGGUGCCAGCGUGUGAGGUCUAGACACUAGAGUUGACACAAAACAUCAGAUGGAGAACCAUAAAACAUGAAUGACGGACCAUCACAGUGUCACAUGAAAACAAAGAUAGUUGCUUGAGUUAUAAACAUUAGGUAUUGAACACACAUUCAUAUUAGUGAGUACCAAGAGAACUGCUUAAGUGGAGACAGAGUAUUACAGGAUAAUGAAGCUAUCAAAUGAUGUCAAAUUUCAAUACCCUUUAACAUUGAAGAAAUUAUGUACAUGUGGACACUAAAACUACAGAAAUACUAUCACUUGAUGCUAUUCAAUCAGAUGAUCCUUUUGAUUAUUAAUUGAAAAAAGGAAUGCUGAAUCCAACUUCAUGAUCCAGAAUGUAAGUGCAAUAUCAGAUAAGUUUGUCCACUAUCCUAUCAUACUAAUCUUAUAUGACCCCUUUGAGAUAUAACUCGUUGAACAGUUGAACUUAGUUUACCAAAUAGACCUUCAGCUUUAAUUUGCAAACACGUAAGGGAACAAUCAGCAGAUUUUCGGGCUUCAAACUCUGAUUUCUUUUCAGAUUCUAAGAAUAUUUUGAAACUGAGAUCGAGGUAAACUCCAGGUGGUAAUACCAAACUUGACAACAAACGAAUAAAUUAAACCUUCUCAGUCAUACCUGGCUAAGAAGCUUAGGCUUGUCAAUAGUUGAAAAUAUUACUUCAUGAAUGGGAACAUGUGGUAUAUCUUGCCUGCGUUAUACAGCCCAAUGGUCAAUAUCAUUUCUGCAUAAUUAUACAUGUUUUUUCUUUAAAUGAGAAACAAAGUUUUACUAAAGAUACUCAAAAACACAGUACAAGACUCUGAACAAACUGGUCCACCAACAAAAUGAUUCAACUAAUGAAAAACAAAUCUGAAUUACACCUAUGACAAUGUAAUGGAACUUUCAAAAUUACCCUAUAAGAGCUUCCCAAUCUAAUAAGAUGUUAGAAAUUGGUAGAUCCCUAAAGGGUGGAGAAAAACAAGCUGAUAAGCAUAAAUGUGAUCUCUCAAAUAUACGGGCACAGUUCAUAUAAAAACUGCACAAUUAAAAUAUAAAGUAUAUGAAAAAGACCCGGAUAAAGGAGGAGGGGGAGGGCGUCAGGUAGUCGACAGCCGGCACUCCAUGAUCACGUCGAAUCCUUAUGAAAAUGAAUCCAGAACAAAAUCGCGCUAAAGCUAGGGCGUCACCCGUAAGUGGCGCGCUGUGUGGCCUGAGCACAGUGAUAAGUGAGCAAGGGUCGCUGUAUCUCCAUCGGCACCCGGAUGCAGUGUUAAAUGAGCAAGGGGGCCAUAGAAACUUCUUUUCGAACGACUCCACUCAAAGUUGUUUGGGAGCAUAUGCUCCUAUCAACUUUACCCGGGACACACAAAAGAAGUACUUUGAUCCUAUUAGACGGGGGAGGGUGAAGAAGCUAGGACAGAAGGGUAGAGUUCAAGAGAGCAAAAUGCGUUUAGGAACGUGGAAUAUAGGAACCUUAACGGGAAAAUCUAUGGAAGUAGUGGAAGUUAUGGUGAGGAGAAGGAUAAAUAUUAUGUGCCUACAAGAAACUAAGUGGGUUGGUAGUAAGGCAAAGGAUCUAGAAAACUCAGGGUUUAAACUUUGGUAUUCGGCACAAAUAGAACGAGAAACGGUGUUGGCAUCAUCGUGGACAAGACCUUGGUACAAGAUGUUGUAGAUGUCAAGAGGGUAGGAGAUAGAAUCAUGGCAAUCAAGAUUGUAAUAGGACAAGAACUUAUCAAUGUGAUUAGUGCGUACGCACCUCAAGUAGGGUUGGAUACGAGUUCGAAGGAGAAAUUUUGGGAAGAUCUUGGAGACUUGGUGCAAGGAAUUGCUCAGACGGAGAAGUUAUUUAUAGGAGGAGAUUUAAAUGGACACGUGGGCAGGGAGACAGGCAACUAUGGAGGUUUUCAUGGUGGCCAUGGUUUUGGGGAGAGAAACGAGGAUGGGGAAGCUAUCUUGGAUUUUGCAAUGGCAUAUGAUCUCUUCUUAGCCAACACCUUCUUUAAGAAGAGAGAAGAACAUGUGAUCACCUACAAGAGUGGGUCGUCAAAAACACAAAUAGAUUUUCUUCUAAUGAGGAAAGGGGAUCGUAUAACUUGUAAGGAUUGCAAAGUUAUACCAGGAGAGAGCGUGGCUAAUCAACAUCGCUUGUUGGUGAUGGAUGUACAUAUCAAAAGAGUAAGACAAAAGAACAAGACUUGGAAGUGCCCAAGGACUAGAUGGUGGAAUCUAAAAGAAGAAAAACAAGCCAUUUUCAAAGAGAAGGUAAUCACCCAAUGUGUGUGGGAUAGAGAGGGGGAAGCUAGCCAAAUGUGGGAUUCCAUGGCUAGUUGUAUCCGAAAAGUAGCAAAAGAGGUAUUAGGAGAGUCCAAGGGCUUUGCCCCACACCAAAAGGAAUCUUGGUGGUGGAAUGAGGAGGUACAAACAAAGGUGAAGGCUAAGAAGGAAUGUUGUAAAGCCUUAUACAAGGAGAGGACUGAUGAAAAUGGUGAAAGGUAUAGAAAAGCGAAGCAAGAGGCGAAGAAAGCUGUCAGAGAAGCUAAGUUAGCGGCUUACGACGAUAUGUAUAAACGACUAGAUACCAAAGAAGGAGAGUUGGAUAUCUAUAAACUAUCUAGAGCAAGGGAAAAAAGAAGACAAGGGACCUAAACCAAGUGAGGUGCAUCAAGGAUGAGGAUGGAAAGGUUCUUGCUACAGAGAACGCGGUUAAAGACAGAUGGAGAGGUUAUUUUCAUAAUCUUUUCAAUGAAGGACAUGAAAUGAGUGCUUCUUUAGGGGAGUUGAGUAACUCAGAAGAGUGUAGAAACUACUCUUUUUAUCGUCGAAUCCGGAAGGAAGAAGUGGUUGUAGCUUUGAAGAAGAUGAAGCAUAAAAAAGCAAUAGGCCCAGACGAUAUACCAAUCGAAGUGUGGAAACUUUUGGGAGAGACAGGUAUAACAUGGCUCACUGACCUUUUCAAUAGGAUUUUGAAAACGAAGAAGAUGCCAAAUGAGUGGCGAAUGAGCACUUUGGUGCCUAUCUACAAGAAUAAGGGCGACGUACAAAAUUGCAUGAACUAUAGGGGUAUUAAGCUAAUGAGUCAUACAAUGAAGCUCUGGGAGAGAGUCAUUGAGCAUAGAUUGAGGCAAGAGACACGGGUUUCGGACAACCAAUUCGGGUUCAUGCCAGGGCGCUCAACCAUGGAGGCAAUCUAUCUCUUACGAAGAUUGAUGGAAAUAUAUAGAGAUGGGAAAAAGGAUUUACACAUGGUCUUUAUAGAUUUGGAAAAAAGCGUAUGAUAGGGUCCCAAGAGACAUUCUUUGGAGGAUUUUAGAGAAGAAAGGAGUAGUACGAGUAGCAUAUAUCCAAGCUAUAAAGGAUAUGUAUGAAGGAGCAAAGACUGCCGUAAGAACUCAUGAAGGACAAACCGAAAGCUUUCCCAUAACUGUAGGAUUACAUCAAGGCUCAUCCUUAAGUCCUUACCUUUUUGCGUUGGUAAUGGAUGAGUUAACACGACAUAUUCAAGAUGAUAUUCCUUGGUGUAUGCUUUUCGCAGACGAUAUAGUGUUGAUAGAUGAAACUCAGGAAGGGGUAAAUGCAAAGCUUAACCUUUGGAGAGAAGUGUUGGAAUCUAAAGGUCUUCGCCUAAGCCGAUCAAAGACAGAAUAUAUGGAGUGCAAGUUCAGUGCAAAUGGAGGCCAAAACGAGUUAGGGGUGAGGAUCGGAGAUCAAGAAAUACCAAAGAGCGACCGUUUUCGUUACCUAGGAUCUAUCUUUGCAAAAGAACGGAGAAUUAGAUGGAGAUCUCAACCAUAGAAUACAAGCUGGAUGGAUGAAGUGGAAGAGUGCAUCCGGCGUGUUGUGUGACCGCCGUAUGCCACUGAAGCUCAAGGGAAAAUUUUAUAGGACGGCAAUAAGGCCGGCGAUGCUGUAUGGCACAGAAUGUUGGGCGGUGAAACAUCAACACGUACACAAAAUGGGUGUAGCGGAGAUGAGGAUGCUUCGUUGGAUGUGUGGGCACACGAGAAAGGAUAAGAUUAGGAAUGAGGAUAUCCGGGGUAAAGUAGGAGUAGCCGAAAUUGAAGGAAAGAUGAGAGAAAAUCGGUUACGGUGGUUUGGACAUGUGCAAAGAAGGCCUACUGACGCUCCGAUUAGAAGAUGCGACUAUGGGACAGAGGUUCAGGGCCGAAGGGGUAGAGGAAGACCUAGGAAAACUUUGGAAGAGACUCUAAGAAAAGACUUAGAGUACUUGGAUCUAACGAAGGAGGACAUGACACAGGAUCGAGCACAAUGGCGUUCUAAGAUUCAUAUAGCCGAUCCCACUCAGUGACUUGGAUUUUCCAAGUCUCCAACCGAGAAGUUUUCCUCACUCGGGAAAUUAAGGGAACACUACCCCAACCUACAUGCUCCACUCAGAAAGCUUCAACAUACAAGCUUCAACAAAAGAAAAUUCAAAGAACUUAGCGAAGAAGGCUUUGGUGUAUUUAACACAAUACGUUGAAAUGAAGGAAAGCUUAUUUAUUGAUAUCCCCGAUAAGCUACAAAUAUGUACAUAUACAUGAGUCAAAAUAAACACAAGAGGGAGCCUUCACAAAGGUUGCUUAGGAGAAGUCUCAGCAGUCGGUAGAGCCCCAGAAAGAGAAGGCACCGGAGGGGGAUCAUUUGGAGCCUCAGUACUGGACAGAACCCUAGAAGGAGGAGGCAUCAGAGGUUGAUCAUUUGGAGCUUCAUUACGCGGUACAGCCCCAGAAGACGAAGGCAAUAAAUGCCUUUGGAACAAACCCACAAAUCUCUGAUGAUCAAGUAAAACCUGACCAUCAGUUUCCUUCAUCUGGUCAAGCUUCCUCUUCAUGUUUGUAGCAUAGUCAUGUGCGAGCCGGUGCAACUGUUUAUUCUCAUGCUUGAGCCCUCUAAUCUCCUGUUUGAGACUCAUCACUUCAGCCGCCAAUGAUUCAACUUGGCGGGUUCGAGCAAAUAGGCGUUGGGCCAUAUUAGACACAGAACCUGCACACUGAACACUGAGAGCCAGCGAAUCCUUAACAGCUAACUCAUCAGACCGUUUGGAAAGUAGUCUGUUAUCUUUGGGAGUGAGAAGGUUCCUGGCCACCACCGCAGCGGUCAUAUCAUUCUUCAUCACGGAAUCCCCAACGGUAAGAGGACCAGUAGGGGAGACGAAGGAUGGGCGCCAUAUGUUGUCUGGAGAAGGCGGGGCUGCCUCUUCAACAAGGUUCAAGUCAAAACGACGGUCGGAGGGGCCAGACAUUUUCAAAGGUGUUGAAGAGAGAAGAGGUCGGACAAAUCAAGAUCUUAGAAGUGCAAGAAUGAAGCUUCUACUGGUGGAGAUUCAAGUGUGCUUUGGAACUUAAUGCCAGCCCCUAUAUAAAAAUCUGCACUCGACGAAGCUUUAGAAAUCGAAGAGGCGCCUGCUCAGAAAUCGAAGAGGCGUUUGCUUUCUCAAAAGCUGGGCUGCUUAGAGAUCACGAGGGUUGAUCUCAGAAAUCGAAGAGGUGUUUGCUUUCUCAAAAGUUAGGCUGCUCAAAGACCACGAAGGCCGAUCUCAAAAAUCGAAGAGGCGCUCGCUUUCUCAAAAGCUGGGCUCCCCAGAGACCACGGGGGCCGAUAUCAGAAAUCGAAGAGGCACCUACUUUUCCAGCCUUUUCCAGCCUUGUCAGCACCUGUCACACGCACACUCAGUUUUGCGGAAAUUAUGGGCAUUCUGUCAAAGACUUCUGGGGAAGUAGAAAACACAUGAAUCUUACUGUUCAAUCACCCACUUCCCACACGCAACAAUAGCUCAUGGGUACCACAGAUAACUUUGCCAAAGUUCUCUGCCAAAGUUGAGCACGUGAAGCUUGCAGCUCCUACUACAUCGCUCUGACCAAGAAGGGUAAAAGAAUAGCAAAGAAACAGCACUAACAAAGUUUAGACCCAUAAAUUUUGAAGGUCUAGCUACCAUAUUAUUACCCACAAGGGUAAAGGAACAGUACCACUGCUGGAUAAUUGGAAAGUCCCUGUGUGUCAACCUCUGUGCUUCGUGGCAAGGUAGACUAGCAAACAUGCCCAACCUUUACUCACAUUCGAGAAAACACUCCCAAUAAGAUUGCUUGCUCCAAAAUCGAAGAGGCACCGUCCUCCGAAUCUCGAGAGCCAGACUCCCAACAUGACUACUUUCUUAAAAAUCGAAGAGAGAGGGUAAAGGAACAGUACCAUUGCUGGAUAAUUGGAAAGUCCCUGUGUGUCAACCUCUGUGCUUCGUGGCAAGGUAGACUAGCAAACAUGCCCAACCUUUACUCACAUUCGAGAAAAACACUCCCAACAAGAUUGCUUGCUCCAAAAUCGAAGAGGCACCGCCCUCCGAAUCUCGAGAGCCAGACUCCCAACAUGAUUACUUUCUCAAAAAUCGAAGAGACACUGCUCCCCGAAUCUCGAGAGCCAGACCCCCAGCAUGAUUGCUUUUUCAAAAAUCGAUGAGGCAUCGUUCUCCGAAUCAAUCGAAGAGGCGCUCGCUUUCUCAAAAGCUGGGCUGCUCAGAGACCACGAGGGCCGAUCUCAGAAAUCGAAGAGGCACCUACUUUUCUAGCCUUGUCAGCACCUGUCACACGCACACUCAGCUUUGCAGAAAUUAUGGGCAUUCUGUCGAAGACUUCUGGUGAAGUAGAAAGCACAUGAAUCUUACUGUUCAAUCACCCACUUCCCACACGCAACAAUAGCUCAUGGGUACCACAAAUAACUUUGCCAAAGUUCUCUGCCAAAGUUGAGCACGUGAAGCUUGCAGCUCCCACUACAUCGCUCUGACCAAGAAAGGUAAAAGAAUAGCAAAGAAACAGCACUAACAAAAGUUUAGACACAUAAAUUUUUGAAGGUCUAGCUACCAUAUUAUUACCCACAACUGUAAAGGAACAGUACCACUGCUGGAUAAUUGGAAAGUCCAUGUGUGUCAACCUCUGUGCUUCGUGGCAAGGUAGACUAGCAAACAUGCCCAACCUUUACUCACAUUCGAGAAAACACUCCCAAUAAGAUUGCUUGCUCCAAAAUCGAAGAGGCACCGACCUCCGAAUCUCGAGAGCCAGACUCCCAACAUGAAUACUUACUCAAAAUCGAAGAGAGGGUAAAGGAACAGUACCAUUGCUGGAUAAUUGGAAAGUCCCUGUGUGUCAACCUUUGUGCUUCGUGGCAAGGUAGACUAGCAAACAUGCCCAACCUUUACUCACAUUCGAGACAACACUCCCAACAAGAUUGCUUGCUCCAAAAUCGAAGAGGCACCGCCCUCCGAAUCUCGAGAGCCAGACUCCCAACAUGAUUACUUCCUCAAAAAUCGAAGAGACACUGCUCUCCGAAUCUCGAGAGUCAUACCCCCAGCAUGAUUGCUUUCUCAAAAAUCGAAGAGGCAUCGUUCUCCGAAUCUCGAGAGCCAGAUACCACAGACCACUUUUUCAAAGUGCUCUGACAGAGUUAAAACAUGUGAAACUGGCAGCUCCCACUACCGUGCUAUGACCAAGCAGGGUAAAGGAAUAGCAUUACUACUUGUUGUUAGGGAGACUCCUAUAUAUGUCGACCUCCAUCCCCAACGGACAGGCAGACCUGCAAAAAUGCUCAACCCUUCAUCAUAUCUGAGAGGGCACUCCCAACGAAGCCUUUCGAAAUAUUCAGCUUUCUUUCCCCCCGAUAAUACCUCUGCAAACAAGCUAUACUAGAGCAAGAAUAUCUCAUAUCAUCAGGGUUAAAAGCAAGAGUAUCCCAUAUCAUGCUUUUUCCCUGUCUUUUCUUUUUGGCCUUGUUUUUACCUGCAAGACAAGGAGAAAGAGAGCAAUCAGUCAGCACUUGGAAUCAAGCUUCCAGCCAGGAACUGACUGCCUGGAACCCCUUACCUGAUUACUUACCUGGCAUUGCUCUCGAGUACUCAUCUUCAACAUCUUAUGUUUCCAGGGAAGAUUCCGCAUCUGCUUGAGGAACAGAUAGGGCAAGUGCGAAGGAUACAAGGAAGCAUGUGGAGACAAGCGUAACAGCACACGUGCCGAUACAUUCAUUACUCUGUCAAAAGCAAAAGUAUCCCAUAUCAGCAGGGUGGAACGUACUCUAGAUUUGAUGGACUUGUUUUGACCCUCAAAUUCUUCAGUCGGCCUUAUACUCUGGAGAAAACCAGAAAACCCUCCAGCUCAGUUCAAGAAUAAGCCUGUGGAAAGUUACUUCUUCAAAAGCAAAAGUAUCUCAUAUCAUCUCUUCUCAUUUUUCUUCUCUUUUAUCCUUCAUGCUGCUGCAAGAUGGGGAGAAGGUGAACAAUCAGUCGGAGCUCUGAUUGCUUACCUUGUCUGUCACCUCUUUCAGCAGACCCCUAGCUCGGCGACUUGGGGGACUCCUACUACAUGGUUUGUAUCGCGCUUGACCAAGCCUGAAACUACAAGUAAGCUUCAAGUGAAAUUGAUACAUUACCUUGUGCAUCUCCACCAGUUAAAGAUAUCCACCCCUGGAUGGAGGAAGAGUACUUCCAGAGAAGAUGCCACAUCUACCUAUGAGACAGAUAAGGCAAGUCAAGACGACACCACACUCCGAUACUUAGAAGUUUCGUGAUUACGAGAUCAUUCUCCCACAAUAUUUCCUAAUGUCAUUUGUACUAAAAUCAUUCACUUGUACUCACUAAAUGAGAGCUUGAACCUAUGUACUUGUGUAAACCCUUCACAAUUAAUGAGAACUCUUCUAUUCCGUGGACGUAGCCAAUCUGGGUGAACCACGUACAUCUUGUGUUUGCUUUCCUAUCUCUAUCCAUUUAUAUACUUAUCCACACUAAUGACCGGAGCAAUCUAGCGAAGAUCAUAAAAAGCGAUCGUUUUCGCUACCUAGGAUCUAUCUUGCAAGAGAACGGAGAAUUAGAUGGAGAUCUCAACCAUAGAAUACGAGCUGGAUGGAAAGAGUGCAUCCGGCGUGUUGUGUGACCGUCGUAGGCCACUGAAGCUCAAGGGAAAAUUUUAUAGGACGGCAAUAAGGCUAGCGAUGUUGUAUGGCACAGAAUGUUGGGUGGUGAAGCAUCAACACGUACACAAAAUGGGUGUAGCGGAGAUGAGGAUGCUUCGUGGGAUGUGUGGGCACACGAGAAAAGGAUAAGAUUGGGAAUGAGGAUAUCCGAGGUAAAGUAGGAGUAGCUGAAAUUGUAGGAAAGAUGAGAGAAAAUCGGCUCCGGUGAUUUUGAACAUGUGCAAAGAAGGCCGACUGACGCUCCGGUUCGAAGAUGUGACUACGGGACAGAGGUUCAGGGCCGAAGGGGUAGAGGAAGACCUAGGACAACUUUGGAAGAGACUCUAAGAAAAGACUUAGAGUACUUGGAUCUAACGGAGGACAUGACACAAAACCGAACGCAAUGGCGUUCUAGGAUUCAUAUAGCCGACCCCACUUAGUGGGAAAAGGCUUUGUUGUUGUUGUUGUUGUUGUUGUUGAUUAAGCAUUAAUAUCAGCAUAAAGAAAAAUUAUUUUCUAUUUUUAAUUUGGAAAAUAAGACCUUUAGCAUAUUACUUCAUAAAUAUGUGUAUUUACUAUUUAUGCGUGCAUGCAUAUGUUUGUCUUUAUACAAUUUCAUGAUCACAUUGUACACUUCUAUGUAUCAUGUCUACCCUUUAUACACAUGAAAUAUCAUAUACAGUAAUUGCUUGUCAACACAUUCAUUAGAGCUUUACAAAUCGUUUAUCUAAUUUCUGUUUGAUAAGAUACAACAAAUUUAUCAGAAUAAAAUUUUGAUAAAAAUAGUGCACAUUAAAGCAAGAAGAAAGUAAGUUUUAAACAAGUGUCUUCCAACCUAUAGAAAGAGGGCUUCUCAAAAUUCCACCCAAAACUUUAACACUGAAAGCCUAUAAUAAGGCAACAUACAUUAUUCUACCCCUAAUUGCUACAAAUUCUUGAUGCUUGACCCAUAGCAAUUUUUCAGUGUGCAUCUCAAUAUUAACUUAGUCUUCAUCAUCCCAAGUCCUCAAAAAUGUAUACGCAAAAUAUGAGAAGUCAAAUGAAGCAAAACAAUAACUAACUUCGCUGCACAUAACAAUCUGCUCCAUAACUUAACCAAUGCAUAUGUUCAUCCAAAAGAAAAUGAUGCAUCUAUUCACCAUUCUUUCUACUGUUAAUUCACCAUUUACGAUAUAAAGAAAGGUCUGACUCACCUUCGAAGAAAAUUACUAGUGCUAAAUUUUUCAUAAGCUUUGCCCAAGGUAAAAGUUAACUUUCCUAGGAACCAGUGGAUUCCAUUAAAUCUUUAGGAAAAAAACUGAUAGAGUGACAACCAAUCAACCUUCAGAAUAAAGAGUUCCUACAAAAGAGUUCCUCAAAAUAAUUAGGGACCAAAGCCAUUAUGACUUGUUGCUCUUGAUAUGCAAUGGGUUUCUAUUGAGCACUUUCAUUUUGGGUAUUGUUGGUUAGAGACCAAAAGCUUGCAGCUCACUAAGAUAAAGUAAACGAGUAAACCAAUAUAUUGGUGGCAAUUGAUGUAUCAAAUGGUAAGAAUUAAUCUGACAAUGUGAAAAGGAUGGUGAUUUUCACACCCCAUUUACCUCCCGCACACUCUUUCGAUUUUUUAAUAUCUUUUUGCUCUUCCAUCACUUUGUCUUUAUUUUAGAGGUGGGCCUUCACCAAGAGCAAACAAAUAUUAAAAUUUUGAAAAUGUGUGGGAAGUAACAUGGGGUGUGAGAAAAUCACCACCCAUGUGAAAAAAUUAAAAAUCUUGUUAUAAUGAACCCAGUAGUGCUUAUUCUAGAACAGAAAACAAGCCAACAAACUUUGGUUGAGUACCUUGUGGGAGAAUCCUUGGUCAGAUGUCUUCCGUCCAUAUCCUUAGCAUUCUUUCUAACAUCCAAAUUUAGGUCCCCGAGCUUAGAGCAAGGUUCAAAGUCAGCCGCACAAUUCCUAGUUUUACUCAGAGAAAUGAUAUAAAUAAAUGACAACCAAAAAAGGUCCACAGAUCAAUAUCCAGAGUCACCGAAACCCUUGUUGGGAAAAACUACGGCAAAAAGUUUAAGCACUCAGAGACAAAGUACAACACAGAUAUAAUAUGGUUAUUACCUAUCAUGUGACAGAGUAGCUCCUUCACUAGUUUCAUCACAUGAUGACCUUGGGGUUGAAACAACACUUGUACAUUGUUGAACAUCAUCAUCUUCGUCGUCUGUCCCCAUAGAAGUAUUCUGAUCAUAAGUACAUAAAAUGAUGAACAUAAGAGGAACUUAAUGAUAAAUAAAAGGGUAAAUCGCCAAAAUGGUCCCUGAGAUUUGCAUAACUUAUCACUUUGGUCCCCAAGAUUCCAAAUCGAUAAAAGUGGUCCCUGAGAUUGUCCACCAUCCAUCAUUUUGGUCCUUCCGUUAAGUGUCCCAGAGCUCUUGGCCAGAAGUUUGGGCAAUUUUCAAAGCUUCGUAACUCAAUCGUUUCUUAACCAAAUUCGAUCCAUAAUAUAUCAAAAUGAAGAUAGGAAAGUGUAGAAUAAGAUUAUACCUAUUUCGAAGCCCAAUGGUUGCCGGAGAUGGCCGGAAAAUAGCCUCAAAGUUGACUGGUCCGAGCGAAAACUUGAAAACUCGCCGGAAACUGGGUAAACUUUAAACGUUCGUAACUUCUUCAAUACUCAACGAAAUCAAGUGAUUCAAAAACGAAAAUCAUACUUCUCGAUGAGACAAAGAGAAUGGUCUAGGUACCAUUCUCUUUGUCUUGUCGAGAAGUAUUUCUCUUUGUCUCGUCGAGAAGUAUAAUUUUCGUUUUUGAAUCACUUGAUUUCGUUGAGUAUUGAAGAAAUUACGAACGUUUAAAGUUUACCCAAUUUCCGGCGAGUUUUCAAGUUUUCGCUUGGACCAGUCAACUUUGAGGCUAUUUUCCGGCCAUCUCCGACAACCAUUGGGCUUCGAAAUAGGUAUAAUCUUAUUCUACACUUUCCUAUCUUCAUUUUGAUAUAUUAUGGGUCGAAUUUGGUUAAGAAACGAUUGAGUUCCGAAGCUUUGAAAAUUGCCCAAACUUCCGGUCAAGAGCUCCGGGACACUUAACGGAGUUUUUAAUGGAAAAUGAUGGAUGGUGGACAAUCUCAAGGACCACUUUUAUUGAUUUGGAAUCUCAGGAACCAAAGUAAUGAGUUAUGCAAAUCUCAAGGACCAUUUUGGCGAUUUAGCCUAAAUAAAAUAGAAGGGGAAAAAAGAACUAAUGUCACAUUGGAACACCACACCACCAAAGUUUCUCAUGCUUUACAAGAUUCUGUAAGAUCUUAUUUUCAAGUGUAGUCAAGGCUUCUUUAGGUAAAGUGACAGUCAGUACAUGCAACAGGAUUCAUACAUUACUACACAUCGUGAUUGAUCCAUAUCCUGGUCAACAACAUUGUGAUAUCACAGUUCCAACAUUUUUUCCCAGAACCCCACAAUGUUUCCAAUAAAACAGCUAGUAAGAAAAUCCGAAUCAGACUAAAAGAAGGUAUAGUUGAAAUGCUAAUUAAUGAUAAUAACACGUAAAUAUCUAUCUGACGUAAUGACUUUUAAUUUUACUCUAAGAGACUAACCAUGUGGAGAAUCUUAUUGAAAGAAACUUGUAAUGACUUUUAAUUUCAAUCUAAGAGACUAACCAUGUGGAGAAUCUUAUUGAAAGAAACUUGUAUCAUUAAUUUAUCAAAGCAAUAUUAUUUCUGAGGUUAAGACUAAGGGCCUAGGUAAGGGAACUUUUGUUGAGUACUAACAUAGUGAAUAUCACAAGCAAAACUAGUGCGAAAAAUAGUCACCAAUUCGAGAUAAAUUUUUUAAAUGAACCUACAAGAGUUACAGUGAAUGUGCUAUAAAAAGGUUAGAUUAGAAUUUGGUUUUUAAGAACUUCACAUAGGCUGUCUCGUACACUUGUGAUGUAGACUCAAGUUUUCAAACCCAAAGCGCACAAGUUUGCAUUAAUAGGCAAGGAAUUUAUAGUCCUACAUAUUGGAACUUGAAAUCAUGCACCAACUUUAUCUUCUUCUUCUCGACUGAAGCCCUUUACCUAGUGCAAGCCAGAGACAAAAUAAAGUAGUAGUACUGAACCAUUUGUGUUACUUAUAACCUUCUUCUUCUCCGUUGAAACCACUGCUCUAUACCUUUUAAGGAUAACAUUUUCCCAAUUAUUCCAUCAUUUCUCAAAGCUAACCAUGGUUAGGGACAUUAUGAGUCAGAGUAAUUAUCAAGGAAGUCAUUGAUACCCCAUCCUUCUUUCCCACUCGCGAUUACUACAUAUAUGAACCUUUUGUGGCUUUAAAAGGAAAUAUAGUAUUCAUCCAAAUAAUUUAAAUUUUUUCUGGAAAAUAAUGAUUACGUGAAUGCAAGUUGUUGCAAACAAUCUAAAACGUGGCUUUUUAUAACAACAGGAAAUAAACUAAUACUUGGUUUAGCACUGGGACUCAAAGAAACUCUAGUUCAGAACAAGAUUCCAAACAUAAAAUACUGAAGCAAAUGAUGCGGAAUACCUCCAUGAAACGGAUAUGAUACACGGGCCGCUUCUCAGGGUCUUUUGCCAAUGCAAGAAGCUUUUGAUGUAACAAGACAUCUUCCACUCUAUCCAAGUUAACAUCAAGUCCGUAACUGCGCAGAAAACAAAAUUAGUAAAAUAAAUAAAUAAUGUAGAAUUCAUAGAAUUAGGUUCAUCAUCCUCCACAUCUAAAGAAAAAUGAAACAUUCAUGCUAUGGCUCUUAUGAAGUUUUACAGUGGAAAAUAUCUUGGAAAAUAUAGUGAAUACUUUUCCCAGUAAGGUUUUAAACAAAGCUUCAACAUAACAUAAGGUCUGGAAAGGUUGGCCUUGAAAUAACAUUUCUUGACAGACCUAAGGAAAAUUUUGUGCCUCCUGGAAAGGUACUUCCAAAAAGAAUUGACUGCGAAGUGCGGAACUAAUUUCAGUCCAUACACACAUUGCAGAGUUUCAAUUGUAAACCUUUACACUAGUCACAUGGUCAAACCGACCAACUCUUACAGAAAUAAUAGGCAAGAAAACAACACUCAAACAGCACUGCCAGCUCAAAAAAUAAUCAGGUCCAUACAGAACAAAUAUUAGAUCACAUAACCAAUUUGAUAUUCAAACAUAUGCAUAAACUUAUUCGUGCUCAAACAUUAAAAACUUCACUGAUACUGCUCCGAAAGCAUAUUAACUCAAGAAAUCAAUCAUGUUGGGAUCAUCAUUUGAGACUCUAAGAGCUUCAUAAGGGUUCGUACUUCAAUAAUACGGUUCGUACCAUAAUACACCAAUCCCAAAACUACGGAGCACUGGUUAACCAAAUAUCUUCGAAGACCUACUGAAGGGUUCAUGUUGAGACACCCCUACCUAAGCACAUGAGUUUCUCUCCAACCAGGAGCCCAAUCACAAUGCUAAAGCUUCUAAAGUCCCACAUCAACCACAGACGAAAUAGGCAAUUCUCCUCAACUAUAAAAGGAGAUUGUUCUCCCACAAUUGAUCCCUGAUGAUCUUAUUUUGCUUAAUCCACUAUUAGAACUCACUAAGUAAUGAUUCUGUCUAAAUCCUUGUAUCAUGUAAACUCUCUCUACAUUAUUUAUGAGAACUCCUCCAUCCGACGUAGCCCAAUUUAAGGUGAACCAUGUAUGAUUGCUGCCCUUUUAUCCCUUAACUCUGUACAUACUCUCAUCACUAGGUGACCGAAGCAACUUAGCAAGGAUCGCAUAUUGACACUCUACGUUAUUCCAAAGUCAACCCAGUUUUGUGCAUCAACAAAUACAAUAAUGUUUUGUUCUGAAAAAACUAAUUCCAGAAAUAAAUCAAUGGCGGAAGUUCGUUAAAAUUAAAGAAUAAAAAGAAAUGAAAUGAAAAACAAUCUUAUAGAGGAAAGCGAUCGAAGGGGAAUACCUAGGCGGCAAGCGGUUGAAGUGACCGUCCAACUGUUCACGGAAUUCGGGCAGAGUCAGAGCGUCUUCAUGGCCGCUCUCCACCAAGCGGUUGUAGACAUCGUUUCGGACAUCGUAGUUACUGAAGCUGACGAAGCUUCUCGGCGGCGACGAGCUCUCUCCGACGCCCUCGGUCAAAUCCAUAGGGGAAGCUCAAGUCAGCAGGUUUUCCACGAAAAUACAGAAGAGAAGGAGGAGAAAGCGAGCUCGGAGAGUUGUCAAUGAUAAGCAGAGGAUCUUUGACUGUUGGUGGAAUCCGGGAAGAAGACGAGGAUCUGUUGGGGAUUUCGGGCGGAAAGCAGAGGGCAAUUUCGUCAUACAAAAUCACUGUAGCAUCGUGAAGUUUCUCGAGAGCGAAGGCUAGUUUGGAGGAGAGAAUGUCAUGGUUGGAGUGAGUGAGUAGAGAGACAAAAGAAGACCUCCGUCUCAGCAAGAGAAAACUUUUUCCAUUUUUUAAUUUUUUUUUUAUAUAUAUUAUAUAUCAAAUAAUGUGGAUUGGAUAUGGUUGAAAAUGUGGGACAAUAUAAUAAUGUUUUGUAGUUAAGAAAACGCCUCGGUUUUUGAUAGAUUUUUUUUCAAUGUGAUCGUAUAUACGAAACGGUAUGUUAUAUGUUGUUGUUAAAGUAAAAUAAAAUUUUAUUUUAAAUUUAUUCUCUUAACUUAUAUAAUAAUUUAUGAUAUAUGUAACCGCGUUUUGGAUAUAUUGAAAAACCACUCUUAAAUUUUGGGCACAAUUUCAUGUGAGUCACAUCAUGUUGUAUAGGAGAAAAUAUGGCCUGCUGUUUACAAGUAAUCACAUAAAAAAGCUCAUACCAUAAUUAUGACGCAAUUGUAUAUUUAUUCUUUCUCUAAUAAUGGAUUCUCAUUUUGUAGAGAGGGAAAUGUUAAGGAGACUCAUAGUUUUUUAGGAUUGUGUUAUUCACACAUCCUGUUUAUCUUUCACAUAUUCCUCUUAGUUUUUACAAUCGGACCGAAUUAAUUAAAAAAUAUUAAAAAACAGAAAUUAACAAAAAAUGUGUAGAAAGUAAAAAUAAGAUGUGGAUAACACCACCUUUUUCUUAUUGUGAGUAGCAUAUCUAAUCACUAGAAGCAUUAGAUAUAUCCUAUGGAAGUUGAAAGCAAGUGUUCUGUUUAUAAGUGCUUACAAAAUUAUUUUUUAUUUAUUUAAUACGAAAAAGAGAUUACAAAGUAGAAGUGCUUAAGAGAAUAACACACCAAAACGAUCAAAAAGCAUCUGGCACAUAUAAAGGUACCAUUAUUCCACAACUGAGAAACGUGGAACUUUAUGUCCUAGGGCGUCCGCUACAAAGUUGACCACGAAGAAAGGAAUGAGAGUCCGAAUGUCUUUGAGUAAAGUAACGAGCGUCCAUGGAAGUUGAAUAUAGUGUAGACAACAAUCAUGACAUCCCCUUCAACUUUGACAUCUCUCCACCUAUGAGUGAAGGAUAGAGACACACUUUGAUCCAGAUAUCCAGGUAGACACUAAAAUUGAGGCAUGUUGACUAACAUUUAGAAGAUCACGAAGUCAUAACAUGUAAAUAAUGUGUAGAUUGUAUAAAUAAAUUAAAGAUUAUAAAUGCAUGUAAUGAAAAGAAGAGUAUCUAAUUAUACACAGCCAAUAUUCAAAACAUAUAGGUAUGUACACGCAAUUUAAAAUUAAAAAAAAAAAAGAUUCUGGAUUGUACUUAAAAGUAACAUUCGCCUUAAAACAUUCAUAAAUUCAUGAAAAUAUGACUUGAGCUUCUCCUAUGGACAUGGAAGAUAUGUUUGGUGAUGCAUUAGAGUAUGAUCCGCAUACAUCUUUGCAUAUAAAUUGGCCAAGAUAGGAAGUCUUUGACGGAUUAUGCCGUUUACCGCAGUAGACUUCGAGUUUUAGAAGACCAUCACACUCUUUGUAAUGGUAUGGUCAAUCAGAUGGUCGAGUAAAGAGUCACUUAAUUAAUAUUGCUUGUUCUUAUGUUCCUUUAUUUUUAUUUUUAUUUUUGAAGUCGGGUAUGAUUUAAUUUACGUAAUUGUUUAAUUUUAUUUAUGUAAUUGUGUGUUUUUAUGUAAUAGUGUGCUUUUAUUUAUAUUCUCAGUAUAACAACAAGUAUAAGCACGAAGAUAAUUAUCAUUAAGAAUAUUGACAUUAAAUUACAUAAAAGCAUUGAGUAAAUAGCAAUCAUAAAAAUAUUAACAUUACAUGAGCAUAAAAGAAUUGAGUAAAUAUAAUCAUAAACGUCACUGUACGUGGCAACAUGCUGCUAGUUGAUGAUUCAGUGGUUAAGGACGGAUUACAAGGCUUUCUUCAAACUAAAAAUUGGAGGUAUCGGGUCCGAACCUUGCUACUGGUGUGGACGCUAGACUUGUGACCAGGAGGAGGCUAAAAUGUCUCUGUAAGUCUUCCCGGCCCUUGAAAGAGAUGGAUAACCGUAGCUUACCAAUUGUUAUCCGCUCUAUAACCAACGGGGAGCUCUCCGUAGCUCGUUUGACUUCAGCAGUGAAUGAAUCAAAUAUCCACGUCGAUCUGCUUGAGGUAGCUAGAUCACCCUAAUCUAUGGAAGUUUAUUAUUUCCAAAUCUAUCUACGAUUAACCCCCAAUAUUUUCAAACAUAAUAAUACUUAACGAAGUGGAAUAAAAAUAAAUAAAAUAAACUUUGAAUUUUGCUACAGAUACUCGAGGUGUACAUAUACAAUAUGUGGACAUAUAUAUACCUUGACGAGAAGCUUGAGGCAAAUAUCAUCAGACUGGGCUGCAGAGCCCUUGGUCGUUUUGUUCUUAUUUCUGGCAAAAAGAUCAACCUCCUAUACAUCAGUACAUACAAUAUUAUUAAGUAAUAUACAUGCAAUACAAAAACGAGAUAGAGAGGGCGCUUGGAGCGCAAUUGCUUGGUUGCUGCUAAUGCCGAUGAAGCAAAGGUUUUUAGAAGCUUUAUAGAAUAAUGGAUAUAAUGGAACUUGAUGACAUAUGUGAGAAUAUGAUGAACGUUAUAUUUUUGAAGCUCUUUUUAUUAUGCCGACAAAUAUAUUAAUUUAUAUUUCUGAAAUGGUUUAUAGUGUGAAUAUUGUAGAGUAAAAUUUUGGUGCAUCUGAAAAACCAUCACGUGUUAUUAUUUCAUUCAAAACUAUAACACAUGUAUUUUCUUUUUUUAUUUAAUAUUCCUAAAAGACUAACAUUUCAACUAUGUACCAAAGCUACGGAAGUUUGUAGUUUCGAAUAUAUUGGUAGCUAAAUCACCCAACUCUACAACUUCAUUGCUUCGACUUUCUUUUGGCUAACAAAACGCCAAGCCAAACGACUUUGGAUAAAUCUUUAUCCACCUGCUAACCAAUCAUUUAUGCCCAGCUCUACCAUAAGAAGGAGAGGUUGUUCCGAAAGAGAUUUGCAAAAGGUUUUGUUCCAAUAAGGAUACUACUGUUCAACUCUCCACGAAGUUACACACAAAAAAUAAUAAUAAUAAUAAUAAUAAUAUGCACUUGUGAGAAGUGCCAACACUGUGCCACGAUCCCACACAUUCAUGUUAAACCUCUUAGAAGAGCAUAGGACCAGGUUGACGUAAGGAACGUCGCUAAUCAAGACGUCUCAAAUUACUACGGUUCUAGAGUCAACGUCUGCUCUUUAAAACUAUGAGACUAGGUGUUGAAGAAGAAAAUAUCAAAUAAACAAGACUCAAUUGUGAGUACACUUGACAUGAAUUGGGACAGACCAUACGAGAUCAUUGACAUAUAUCGCCCAGGCACAUACAUACUUAAAGAUGGCAGAACACAUGAUCAUCCAUGUAAUGUUGAUCAUCUAAAGUAUUACUACAAGUAGACAGUUCAACAUACUUAGUGAAGAGUCAAUUCAGACAAACUUUGUCUCAACCUGACACCUUAAACAAUCGUACUUAGCCAAACUUUAAAACAAACCAACAUUAUAACUUAAAAGCUCAUCCAUACAUACCUCAAUGAAGUUUAAAACCACCUUCAAAAAGGAACAUGAUUCAUAAGAGCAUCAACAUAAACUUUAAACAUGAUAAAAAUUCCACGAAGACAAAUCCACAAGGUAUCCAAGUCAAUGAUCAAUCAUAUUUAAAGCCAACAUUAGUACAUAAUUUUUUUAUUUUUAAAGUCAACAAGAGAAUACAACCUAAGUUUAGGACGCAACAAUCAACAUUCUCAUAAUAAAACUAAGAGACCACAAAUUCAUUCUCAAAGCAAAGUCAAGAUGCAAUAAUCAUCUUACAAAACCAUUUUGUUUUUUUUUUUCAAUAUAUUGAAUGAUGAGGUGUAACAACCCGUCCCAAAUUUUACAAUUUUAUAAAUUUUAAAAGUGUGAAUUGAUGAAAAUGCCCUAGAGGCAAGGAUUUUGACUUCCGUUGACCAUCAAUUUGAGAGAUGUAUGACUUAUUCUUUUAGCGUAAUUGUGUAGUACUCGUUAGUACGAACGCAUAGGUGAAGACCGUUUGCGAGUCUGAAUUAUAAUGGUAUAGAUAGGGACAUUUGAAAUUGUGUUACUAAACUAUAGAUUUAAAUUUAAUUAAGCUUCCCUCAAAUGUAUGUUAAUUAUGGGACCAAUUAGAUAAAUAUUUGAGGGACCAAUCAGCAUGGGUAACGAAAAGGGGAUCAGCCAAUCAGAAAAAAAAAAAAAAAAAAAAAAAAAGAGGGAGGGGGGUGGACUCCCAACUUUCCCGUGCACCCUUGAACCAUCCCGAUUUCAAAUCGGCGAACUUUCGCCAGUUUUUUGUUGAUCACCACCAUCCAUCACCUGCAACAUCUUUCACAUCUUCCCCUCUACUAUUUCCACUCAAAUUUGGGAUUUUUUUUAAGGUCAAAACCUUGUAAAACUGUGAGGGGUGGCCGAAAGUGUUCCACGGCGAUUCUGCCGUUCCGGCGAGUUUCACCACUCAUCACCACCUCUAAUCUACUCCCCUUGGACCCAGGAACAAAGCCCAAACAACCUUGGAGGCGUCGGAGCACCGGUGACGACGAAUUAAAGCACACCCAUUCUAGGGUUCUGGUGGGUUCGUGGAAAAUUGAGGCUCUUCCAGGUCAAAUUGGCCUUGGUCAUAGGUAUGAAAGUUGCUCCACUCAUUGAGAUCUUCAUUUCUGUGAAGUUUGAGAAUUUUUAGAAAUAGUUGGAUUUUCCGACGAGUUGGGGUGGCCGACCACCACCCACUGCGGCGCGUGCGGCGGCACGUGGCCACUUUUAGGCUAAAUUAGAUGUCUUGAAUUCAGUUUUGAUAUUCGUAUAAUGUAGGUUGAUCGUUUGAAUCUAAAUUCAUUACGAUACGUUAUUUGGUAAAAAUGUGAAUCGACGAUCCAACCGUUGGAUCGUCACUAAACUUUAAUACAUUCUAGUACAUAAUAUUUAAGGACCAUAGAAACUUACGGAUUAGGAAUCUGAUGAACAAAUCUUCCUGAAUUGGAUUUGUAAGUUUAUAAAAUAAAUGUUAACCGUCAUUUAGUUUUGGCAAUUGACGGAAGUCCGACCGUUAGAUCGUAAUGAAAUUUUAGUAUGUUAUUCUAGAAGCAUAAUUUGGAUCUUUAGAAGUUUCGGAUUGGAAAUCUGAUAUGCGGAUCUUCCGAAGUGAGUUUACAGGGUUGUAGACCCAACCGUCGAUCUUUGAUCGACGGUUGACUUAUGGUCAAUGGGUCUCAAACUAUUUUAGAAUGUCCUUGAGAAUGUGUUUUAUGUGAAUUACAUAUUCUAUUGAUAAGAGUUAUGAGAUGUGAUUAUGUAAUUGUUCUAGGCGCCAAUUAUUCGAGACGCCUCAAUGCAAGUGCUAGAGAAUCAUAGUGUGGACUCUAGGUGAGUGGGUCUUUUCCUUUUAUCAUAGGUAUAUAAUUGAUAGUUCCUCAAAUGCUUCUAAAGUGAAUUAUGCAUGUUACCUACAAUUAAUUAUUGUGAACUACGAAUGGCUUAAUCCCUAUUUAGGGUACAUAGGCAGUCUAACGAUACGUUAGAUGCAGCCAUACAAUAAAUGAGACUAACUAACUGAGACAAUAGUCUUGUUUAGGGAAUUGAGUAAUGUGAGGGACAUUGGUGGAAAAUAUAAGAUUUAACUUUAUGAUUUGGUGUUUAAAUAUUGGUCAUAAAUCAAUGAAUGAAGAAUCAGGAAUUUGAAGUAAGGAAACGUAAGUAAUGAUGGUUAAUUAAACUAGUAUCUAGUAGGGCUUACCAUUGAUAAUUAUCUCCGAAAAUAAGUAGUUCGGGAGUAGGGCGUUAUAGAUUAUGCAUUUCACACCAUGUUAUAUAUAUACUUGAAAAUACUAUGUUAUAGUUGAGUUUUAAAUUGCAUCAUGACAUAUUUAUAUGUGUAUCACCUAAACCUAAUUAUUGUGAAUGCUUCGAAGUGCCAAAUGAUGUUGCGGACGCCCAGGUAAGCUUCAGGUGAGUACACGUUGAUGAUAGUGAUGGUAGUGAGAUAUGUGAUGAGAUAUUAAUUGGCUAGCAUGUUGAUGAGAUAUUGAUUUAGCCGUACAGUUCACGUGAGGUGACUCUGGCUAGUAUAUUGAUGAGAUAUGUGAUGAGAUAUGGAUGAUGAGAUAUUGAUUUAGCUGUACAGGUCACAUAAGGUGACUCCAGCUAGUAUAUUGAUGAGACAUGUGAUGAGAUAUGGAUGAUGAGAUAUUAAUUGGCUAGCAUGUUGAUGAGAUAUUGAUUCAGUCGUACAGGUCACGCUAGGUGACUCCGGCUAGUAUAUUGAUGAGAUAUAUUAAGAGAUAUAAAUAAAGUUGUACAUGUCACUAUAAGUGACUCUGACUUAUAUGCUAGCAAUGAUUAAUAAGAUAUAUGAGGAGAUAUAAAUAAAGCUGUAUAGGUCACUAUAAGUGACUUCGGCUUAUAUGCUAGGAACGAUUAAUGAGAUAUGUGAGGAGAUACGGAUAAGUUGUACAGGUCACUAGAGGUGACUCCGACUUAUAAGCUAGCAUAUGUGACGAAUAUGUGAUAAGCUAGCAUAUGUGAUAAAUAUGCGAUGAGCUAGCAUAUGUGAUGAAUAUGUGAUAAGCUAGCAUAUAUGACGAAUAUGUGAUAAGCUAGCAUAUGUGAUAAAUAUGUGAUAAGCUAGCAUAUAUGAUGAAUAUGUGAUAAGCUAGCAUAUGUGAUGAAUAUGCGAUGAGCUAGCAUAUGUGAUAAGCUAGCAUAUGUGAUGAAUAUGUAAUAAGCUAGCAUAUGUGAUGAAUAUAUGAUAAGCUAGCAUAUGUGAUGAAUAUGUGAUAAGCUAGCAUAGGUGAUGAAUAUGUAAUAAGCUAGCAUAUGUGAUGAAUAUGCGAUAAGCUAGCAUAUGUGAUGAAUAUGCGAUGAGCUAGCAUAUGUGAUGAAUAUGCGAUGAACUAGUAUAUGUGAUGAGAUACAGGUAAGUCGUACAGGUCACCAUAGGUGACUUCAACUUGGGUACUAGCAUGAGUUAUUAAUCACAUGAUUAUUUGAUAUUGCUAACGAGAUGCUGUCUUGUGGUAUAUUUAUGAUAUUUUCUGAAAAUUAUACAGGUGUUGUAGCGAGGGGUUAUAAUGUUUUAAAUGGUUUCUAUUAAAAUUUAUUCACAGGGCUACUCACCUUUGUCUUGUCUUCACCCUCCAGGUUUUAUUAGCUGAGUUUUCUUAUCGUUGAAGAUUCGUGGCGGUUCUUGGUAUUGAAGAUUAUUUCGAGGGUACAAUUCUUAAUUCACUCUUAUGUACUUGCUUAUGCUCUAACAUUACGUGUGAAGUAGAUUCAUUCCCGCUCACCGGUGUACUCUGGUAUUUAGGCACUCUUAGGUUUUAAAUUAUUCACAUUUUUCCACAUCAUCACACUUUAUGGAUUCGUCACCUUCCAGGUGUCGGCCAGCACAGUUCGAUUCGGAGUCCUAGUAAACAUUCCGGGUCGGGGUAUGUUAUGAGGAGUGGCUAGGUUAAAGUUGUGGGGCAAUAUGUUAUGAAAGAAGCAGAAGCGAGAAUGUCAACUUGAGUAACAUAAACAUUGGUGAUGGGUUCUCCAUUAAUUUUCAUUUCUUCUAUGCAACGCGGGAUAGGUCAACAUGGUAGCUUGAUAUAGAAGAAUAUAUUUUGUGUUUUAGAAACAAAUUUUUUGUGAGUCACGUCGUAUUUUAUACAAAAAAAUGUGGGCCAUGAACUGCUAUUUACACAUAAUCACAAAAAUAAAUAAAUAAAUUCAUGCCAUGAUUAUGAUGUAGCUCCACAACUAUAAGCUUAUCUGGGAUGCAUUCUGAUAAGCUGACGAACUAGUGUACACAAUUGUAUUUUCAUUUGUUCGAAUAACUGGAGUUGAAUUUUGUUUAGUAUUAUCAUGUUUAUUUUUAUUUUUAUUUUUUACCUUAAGUAGCAUAUCCGGUUACUAGAAGCAUUACACAUAUCUUAUCUAUUUUCAUGUAAUGAGAGUGUGAGGCAAGUGUUUUGUUUAAGAAAAUGUUGAUAAGACAACUUUAUUUGGUACGGGAAAGAGAUUACAAACGAAAACACCUAGGGCGUAAUAAAGGGUAGAACUUGCAUAGGAAAAUUCUAUUCGAACCAAAAAGUUAUCAAAUAUUCUAUCCAAUUUAAAUAUGAAUCCAUGAAGUUUCGAAAUCCGAAAAAUUAAAAAAUACUGGAUAAGAACAGGAAUACAAUUUGCAAUUUGUAUAACAAUCUGUCCUUAAUUUUAAGAUUUUAUUAAUUUUAAAUGUGUGAAUUAAUCAAAAUGUUCUUAAAGGUUAGAUUGUUGACUUUCGUUGAUCGUUAUCUUAUAAUACAUACAAGCUACUAUUUUACUGUAUUUGCAUAUUACUCAUUACUACGAAUGUACAUGAUAAAGAUUUUACGAAAUUACGAAAUCAGGAGGUAUUUUAGCAGAUUCACUAUUCUGGAUAAUUUUUUCCUUAUUAUUUUAUAUUUUUCUGGUGGAAUUUUGUGUCUUGUGGAACCCAUACCCCACUUCUUCCUUGUCCCCGUGUCCCAUUUUCGCCAUACUUCUUGGUCUCUCUCAUUUCAAUCUCUCUCUUUGCCUUGUCACUCCAUCUCUUCUUCUGCCACCUUACCACCACCUACUCUCUCUCUCUAAAAAUCUCUCAUCUCUCACUCUCCAUUUAUUUGUCUCUCGGCAAACACCGAAUGGGUGCAAUGGCAACGCCAUCAUCGCCGCUAACCUUGUUACCCUGACGAGAUUUACGAGUUUUCCAGCCCAGAAACUAGGAUCUCAUACUGCCAACUCAACCCAGACAUGAACUUGC
rnacentral:lncRNA from 1 species